GAAAAGAAACCAACAGGGAUUGCCUUAGUAGCGGCGAGUGAAGCGGCAAAAGCUCAAAUUUGAAAUCUGGCACUUUCAGUGUCCGAGUUGUAAUUUGAAGAAGGUAUCUUUGGGUCUGGCUCUUGUCUAUGUUUCUUGGAACAGAACGUCACAGAGGGUGAGAAUCCCGUGCGAUGAGAUGUCCCAGACCUAUGUAAAGUUCCUUCGAAGAGUCGAGUUGUUUGGGAAUGCAGCUCUAAGUGGGUGGUAAAUUCCAUCUAAAGCUAAAUAUUGGCGAGAGACCGAUAGCGAACAAGUACAGUGAUGGAAAGAUGAAAAGAACUUUGAAAAGAGAGUGAAAAAGUACGUGAAAUUGUUGAAAGGGAAGGGCUUGAGAUCAGACUUGGUAUUUUGUAUGUUACUCUCUCGGGGGUGGCCUCUACAGUUUACCGGGCCAGCAUCAGUUUGAGCGGUAGGAUAAGUGCAAAGAAAUGUGGCACUGCUUCGGUAGUGUGUUAUAGUCUUUGUCGAUACUGCCAGCUUAGACUGAGGACUGCGGCUUCGGCCUAGGAUGUUGGCAUAAUGAUCUUAAGUCGCC
rnacentral:rRNA from 1 species